CCUACGGGAGGCAGCAGUAAGGAAUAUUGGUCAAUGGGCGCAAGCCUGAACCAGCCAUGCCGCGUGCAGGAUGACGGCCCUCUGGGUUGUAAAACUGCUUUAUACGGGAAGAACAGCAUCUACGUGUAGGUGUUUGACGGUACCGUAAGAAUAAGGACCGGCUAACUUCGUGCCAGCAGCCGCGGUAAUACGAAGGGUCCAAGCGUUAUCCGGAUUUAUUGGGUUUAAAGGGUGCGUAGGCGGCUUUUUAAGUCAGUGGUGAAAGACCUG
rnacentral:rRNA from 1 species